AAAAUAAUAAUAAUAAUAAAUUUUUUUUUCUGUCAUGCCAAAACCCAAAGGGGUCACACGACUGAUUGAGAACACAGCACAAAUGCCUCAGAUGAAUUGUUUUUUAAUAAAGCAUGGCUCAAAAUAGCCAAAGUCCAACCUCCAUAAAAUACUGCUCUGCCUAGAUGUUCUUGAACAAAGAAAUUUCAUUUGGAAAACAUUAACUGCAGGGUCUGUGCUUGGAGGUUUGGAGCAUCUGGACUCAGCGAUGGUUGGACAAACAGCUGGUGACCUCCUGGGAGCAGCGCUGGGGCUCUUGCACGGCUGAUCACAUAUAGAUUAUAAAAUUACUCUUCUGCUCUUUAGUCAGCUCAGCCGCUCAGUGGUGUCUCUGUGACCGCAUGGACUGCAGCAUGCCAGGCUUCCCUGUCCACCACCAACUUCCACUUUUCAGCGUCCCCCAGAAUGAUGGGAAAUCAUGUGCUGCCUCAGGGACCUGUGGAAAGGACAUGGUAUUUGGUCCAGGAGAUCGUUCCUGGCCUGGACGAUGGUUGUACCCUUGAGCAAGUUCUUGUUCUCUGAGCCUUCCACGGCCACACAAAUUCAACAAGACAGCAUACACCUAUGCAGCUACCUAUUAAUAGAAAACACACAAUAAGUGCAUCUUCAUUACUGGGAAAAAAACACGUCUCUGUAGAGUCUUCUGGGAAAUCACUCAUAACAAGCCCUUCUUUGUAAACUGUUUCCAUAGGCUGUAGCAGUCAACAAAGCUCUUAAGAGAAAUCAGAUAAAGACACAAUGCCCAUAAGUUCUGAAAUCUCAAUUAAACCAAUGUUGAAGACUAAAUUUUAAUUUUAGGCCAGUUUGACGCCCAGAGGUCCCUCUCUGGUUUCUGCUUCCUGUAAGCCUGGGUUUCCUGCCUUCAG
rnacentral:lncRNA from 1 species